UGAGUGUAAACUUCCCAAAGAAAAUCAAUCAAUUGUUAGACCUUAUUCUAAAGAAUGAGAAAUAGUUGAACUUAAAAAGGACAAACUCCAAAGUUUUAAGUGCAUUUUGUCUUCGCCUUUUGAUUAAAUAUAAACAAAGAGAGGCGUGAGUGUUUUAGUUUUCUUUUCUUUUUUUUUCCCUUUUUUCUUUGAUGAAGUCGGGAAACAUCAACAUGAGAGUAGGAGACUUUUAGACGUUUGAAAAGUAACUGAUCAAAUAUUUAAAUGCCAAUAGAAUGAUCUGAGUAAGACUUAAGUGAGAUUAUGUUAUUUAUUUUGGAAACUUUCUAUUAAUGAAGAAAACUAAGCGAUGAUGCUUCCGUUCGUUUUCUAGCUCGAUUAGAGAAUUCUAUUUUAAGUCAGAUAGGAAAAAGCAACAUCAACGGGAGUAUUUUUCACAAAAGAACGUGCAUGAUGAGGACCGAUAAUCUUAGCUAUAGUUCUUUGAGUACAUAAAGCAGAAGACAAAAAGCACGGCACAUGGUCAUCCUUCUUUGACAUUAAAGAAAAACCUAUCAAAGAUGUGUCACACAAAUUAUUAUUAUUAUUAUUAUUAUUAUAUGACUCAGAAACCGCCGUACAGCCGAUAAUUGACAACGUAAAUCCGAGGUGACGCUAGCGUAGGGAUCCACCUCCCACAUGCAAUUACGCACGCGAACCUCCCUUCAACCGGGAUGGGGAAAUGCUGGAACCAACACCCCCACAGCGAGGUGGGUGGUGCGAUAUAAAUUAUUGAUUGCCAUAAAAACCAAAAAAAAAAAAAACUUGAAGGAUGAUUCUAUCAUACUUGAAGAGAAGAUGAAUUUAUCCAAGUUCUUCAACUCAUGACCUGCGAAUGUAAUUGGUUUCUCCACUUUUUCCCGACUAUCCGUGUGAUUGUGCAAAUACAUUGGAGCAUGUAUUUUUAAGGAUCCUUGAAAAUGAUAUUAUCCCGUAAUAAUUAUGGAUUUUUGCAAUUUACUUUAGACAACUCGAUAUUAUUUGUCGUGAUGUGUUUAUAUCAACAGCCACGUGCUUAUAUUUUAAAUAAUACUGAAAAUGAUUAAGAAGAUAAAAGAAAAUAAUUGUGCAUUUUCAGGAGGAAAGCUUUUAACCCAAAAAAAGAAAAGAAAAGGAGAGCUUACAUUAGGAAACUCCUGUGUCAAGUCACGCGACAAAAUCGUGUUAGGUCACGUGCCUAUCACGUGGCAAACAGAGAGGUGUAACGGGGCACUGCGAGUCUACGACGGCCACUUCUGCAGCGUAGUUCUUUCCCGCAGCUCUCUACUUCGCUCUUCUUCUCAACCCCUGAAGCCACCAUGAGUUCCUCCUCCUCCGGCGGCGACGGCGGCGGCGGCCCGAAGCUCCCUCACGACGUCGCCGUCGACAUCCUGAAGCGGUUGCCGGCGAGAUCCCUCCUCCGAUUUAGGUGCGUCUGCCGAUCGUGGCGUUCCGCCAUCGACGACCCUCGUUUCGUGGCCCUCCACUUGAGCCACUCCGCCCUCCACGCCUCCAGUCGGCAUCUCGCGUGUCUAGAUUGCGGCGAAGACGCCGUCCAGAACCGGUGCUCUCUGUUCCCCAACGCCCCUCUCGCCCUGCCUCCUCCCCCGUUGCAAAUCGAAAUCCCGUUCGUUGCUCCUCCCAACCGUUACGCCCUCGUCGGUUCGUGUAACGGUUUGAUCUGCGUCUCGGAGAGUUCCAGUGACGGCACUGAGCGGGCGCUGUAUUUUUGGAAUCUAUUCACCAGGAAGCAUAAGGCGGUUCGGCUCCCCCGUCCGGAGCGGAUGCCACCCCUCUCCGUGGGGGGCGCUCAUGUAGUUCUAGGGUUUUGUUUCGAUGCGAAGUCUAAUGACUAUCGUGUUGUCAGGAUUAUCCGAUACCUAGGUAUUCGCCGUCGACGCUUCCGCAACAAGAAGCCUCGAGUCGAGGUUUAUUCGUUCCGUACAGAUUCAUGGAAGACCUUGGAAUGUGAGGUUCCUCUUCUCUGUGACAGUGCGGUCGUCUUGAAUGGGAACCUGCACUGGUAUUCUUUCAAUGGAGAGGGGGAUGGAUGCGGAUCCAUAGUCUUGUUCAAUGUCGCAGAUGCGGUGUUUGAUGAAAUAGCUCUGCCGGAAGGGAUCAGUCCCCAUUUUGUGUUGUCCGUGACGGUAUUGAAUGACUCGCUGGCUGUGUUCUUUAGUGAUGGGGAGGCUUGUUUCGUUUGGGUUAUGAAAGACUACGGCGUGCCAGAGUCUUGGAGUAAGCUGUAUACUUUCGAGGCUACUGGACCGGUAACAAGACUUGAUGGCUUUACAUGGAAUGGCGAGCUUCUUAUGGAAAUAAAUUGCGAAGAACGAGUUUCUUGGAAUCCGAUCACAGCACAACUCUCAAUUCUUCCAUUGUCGGGGAGAUAUGAAUUGCUCCCUGUUGUAGAGAGCCUCGUUCCACCUUAGAUAUGACUCGAUUGCUCCUAUAUCGGUAAAGAUUAAUUCUGACUGCUGAAAAGUUGAAAGUUACAUCUGAAUUGAAUUGAAAAGAUGUAGUUUUAUUUUUUAUUUUUUUUGGGUAAAGGAGAAGAUAUGAUUUUAUUCGUAUGUGUCGGCCAUAAAAUGAUGAGGAGAAGUAGUGCGGCAGUGUGUAUUUACUUUGGAUACUUGUUGCAAGAUUUAGAAUGCAUUUUCAUUUUCACUUAGAGUUUUUCUUUAGACUAGUGAAGUGUGUCCUCUGUAUGAGUUAAAGUAUGCAACUCAAGACUGCAUUUAUGACUUCCGCAUCGUCAGCUCCAGCGGAUUUUAGACCAUGUGGAAGAAAAUGACACAGCUUUUUGAAUGCUAUGCAUGUAUGUGUUCGAUGCUAUGCCACCAUAAGCAUUUUUCAGCUUCCAUAAGACCAAAAUAUUCAUGGCUUGAAUCACGCAUCUUGAUCCCGGGGCAUUGCAACUGGUGCAACUACAGAUUACUAUAUUUUGUUUCCUACCACAGGACUCUGUGGUAGCACUGGCAGUGCUUACCUGGUAAGCUUAUUUAUCAAUAUAUGCAGACUGCUGCAUUAAUGGAUGAAGGAAACGGUGGAGAUUGUAUUACCACGAUACACUCUUUUUCCCCCCAAAUGCUUUGGGAUCAGAAGUCUCACUUCUUGUUAUGAUACACCGAUGAUUUUGCAUGUCAAGCCUUAUGAGAAUUUGGUCUUUAGAUGAGAUAGUCUCUUUGCUUCCUCCUCGGAAAGACAUCUGGGAUAAUGAUUUUUAAAUUGCAAUUCUCUUCUAAAGUCAGGUGCAAGGUGCUGGAGCUCUUCUUUAUUAACAGGAAUUCUGGUGAUUGGCAAUGCAAGUACAGCUGGCUCUAACAAAAAUGGGGGAGUGGCAAAGGACAGCAGAAAGUGAUGUUGAAGUUUCUUCGGAAUAUAGUUUACGUGAAGGCAAGAAACAAUCUGCUUCAUGGUUAAGCUACUUCUCCCUUCGAGCAUGUUCUUAGAUUGAUCGAUUUGUUACUUAACAUCGAUUUGAAGGCUAUCUAUUUUCAAAAGGAUACAUGUCGUGCUUAUGAUUAUCUAUAUAAUGUAAUGUGUGAGAUUUGCUUAUACUGUCAUCUAUAAUGAGUAUGUCUGUUUAUAUAACUAUUUUCUUGCUACCAUCUUUAAAAGCUAAACAAUUGACGCACCAGCUUUUUUCUGCUGAUCUAAACAUUAGGUUUGUCAACCUAUUUAUGGUUGUCAAAAGCGGUCUCCGUCUUGAAAAUUUUGUGAAUUUAUGUUAUGCCAUAGGAGUUUGUCAAAAAGUGCUCCAGUGCACUUCUUAAACAAUCGAAUCAGCUAAUGCUUAUUUAGACAAUGAGAAAGAGUUCAGAAACUCGAUGAUAUUGAUAGGGGAAUAUGCUAUAUUUAAAGUACUUUGUUGGGUAUAUAUGUAUUCUGUUGUUGUAUCUAACACUUAACUCUUCCAAUACCUAUGCCAACAAAAGCGCUAGCAUUUAAUUAAUUGAGAUUAGGGUGUAACUAACCUGGUAAAUUCAUCCUAAAGGCUUGAAAUUAGGGAGUAAUUUUAAAGUUAGGGGGCUAAUUUUGUUAAGAGUUGUGGUUGUUUUCAUUGUGCCUGAUAACGUUUUUUGUUGGACUUUUUAACACUGUAUCAUAUUAGACCUCAAUUGUUUCUAACAUUUUCCUCUACUUUAAGUUUUUGAAUUUGAUUUUCUAACAUUUGUACCCCUUAAGAGUACUUCUUUAAACCAAACACUCCGGUGUUUCGAGCAAAUUUAUAUAAUUAUUCGAAAACCCCUAACAUGACUCUUGCCCCUUCUUUGACACGCUGCCAACCCAGACCUCCUCAUUAGCGUCCCCAUCAAUUUGCCCAUCUAUCUCUUUUUUGUUGUUGUUGUUGUUGUUGUUGUUGUUGUUGUCAAUUGAUUGUCUUCAAGCACAACCUUGGCAUCUUUGACGUGAUGCCUACCUUGCUCUCCUAUCCUUAAUUCCUUUCCGUUGACUUUGGUUAGGUUAAUUGGAUCAUCAUCAUCUUCAUCAUUACUAUCUCUGGUUUUGUUGCCCCUAUGUUGCACAAUUUUUUCUUUAAUUUGCAAAAUAGAGAGGAGUAAAUAAGGGUGCGUUUGUUUGUGUUUUUGUUCAAAAAUUGUUCUAGGAAAUAGAAAUAGAAAAAAAUAUUUUUGCUUCGAGGAAUAAUUUUUAAACAGGAGAAUGUGAUUGGUAAAUUUGUUCGAGAAAUAAAAAAAGAAUAAAAACAUGUUUGGUAAAUUUGUAUAAAUUUUUUUAUUUCUUUAAUUUUUUAAUUUUUUAAUUUAAUUUUUUCUUUUUCCUUUUUCCUUUUUUCCUUUUUCCUUUUUUCUUCUUUUGGUCAGUUGCUGGCCUUGGCCAUGGCCGACGAGGGCUAGCAGCCUCGCCCAGCCACAACGAGGCCGAGCUCGCCUAGCUGAGCCUCGCCAGGGGCCGGUGACGCUUGGCCUUGCUAGGGGCCGGUGACGCUUGGCCUUGCCAGGGGCCGGCGACGCUUGGCCUCGCUAGGGGUCGGCGAGGUCGCCGACCCUCGACGGCGUCGUCAACCUUGGAUGGCCAAUCGCUAGCCAUGGUCGAGGCCGGCGAUCAGCCAAAGAAAAAAUGAAAAAGAAAAGAAGAAGAAAAAAAAGAGAAGAAAAAGGGAGAGAGAAAAUUUGUUCUUAAAAAUUGUUCCAGAAACAAGAAACAAGUUUUCCUUGUUUUUUAUUUCUGUUCCAAAUGUGUUUCCAGGAACAAAACAAUAAAUUUGGAAUAAAAACGUAAACAAACGUGUUUCUGUUCUUUUUUUGUUAUUUAGAACAAAAAAAAAAAGGAAUUGUGUUUAUAAACAAAAAAAAGAAAUACAAACAAACAUCCCAUAAAUCUUUGAUAACAUAAUUACUAAUGCUGACAUCGUGACUAAAGGUUCUCUUUAUUGGUGACAUACUUCCCACCACUAAAUUUUUGUAAUAGCAAAACCAAUGAAAUAUUGUAGAGUAAGUUAAAAAAUUGAAGAUAUGUUUCAUGAUAUUUUUCCUCUCAAAUAGAUUGUCUAUGGAAAAAAGAAAUGAAAUACAAUUUUAUUCUGCCAAUUAGAUUUCUCAAAAUUUGGGGCACCAAUUAAAAAUGUAUGUAUUUAAUUUCAUAAUAACAAAAUAGUGGAAAACAAUAUUGUAAGACAAAAUAAUGUAUUCCUUAUGUAUAAACAAAAUAUCUAAUUAUUGAUGAGUGUAAACUUCCCAAAGAAAAACAAUCAAUUGUUAGACCUUAUUCUUAAGAAUGAGAAAUCACUGAACUUAAAAAGGACAAACUCCAAAGUUUUAACGUGCAUUGGCGACCCAACCUGCAAACCAGUCCAUCAUUGUAAACUGAGGACAAACUCCAAAGUUUUAAAGAGCAGGGCAAGAAAAUCAAUCAAUGGUUUUCCUCUGAGGGAAGAACUGAGGCCAAGGCUGAACCGCUAGCCCAUUGGCGACCCAACCUGCAAACUGAGGAUGGAAGAUGUGGCGGAACUUACGCCGGCCCUACUGGACAAGUCUUUGACAGAGUACUAGGAAGAAAUCCAGCGCAUGUAUAACCGUG
rnacentral:lncRNA from 1 species